AACGCACCUUGCGCUCUCUGGUAUUCCGGAGAGCAUGCCUGUUUGAGUGUCAUGAACUCUUCAACCCACCGGUUCCUUGUUGGAUCGAGUUGGUGUUUGGAUCUUGAAUGUUGCUGGCCGUUAGAUUGUUAACUCAGUCGAGGGCGAAGCUCGUUCGUAAUACAUUAGCAUCUCAACUUCGAAAUUUCGGAUUGACUCAGCGUUAUAGACUAUUCGCUGAGGACACAAAGCAAUUGUGGCCGAAUUUAGAUAACUAGAAGCUUCUAAUCCCCAUACUAGUCAAAACUAUAAGAUUAGACCUCAGAUCAGGCAGGAUUACCCGCUGAACUUAA
rnacentral:misc_RNA from 1 species